rnacentral:lncRNA from 1 species
AUGGGGUGUGGAGGGAGCCGGGGGUCUGGCAGUGGCAGAGCUGCAGCAUCAGGGACGGGACUGGGGCUGGCGGGUGCUCCCCACUUGGUCUCGCCUCUUCAUGGAUGCUCAUGCCGCCUGCACUGGUCCUGGCUCGGCUGUGGUGAGAAGGAAGUUGGUCCCUGCUGUCCCAUCCCAUGCCAAUCCCAAUCCCAUCCCCGCUCACCUGGCCAUUGUCUCUAUGCAAUGUUGCUCUUCAGAGCUUCCACCACGGUCUCUGGCUGGGGAAACUUCAGCUUGCGGGGGGGGCCCUUCCCGAUGCCGCUCCACAGCUCCACGGCUGCAGAGACAAAGGAGAUUUAUGGGACCAGGGGUGCCGGGGAGCCCCCGCCGUCCCCAGCCCAGCACUUACUGCUGCCGUCCUCCUUCACCAGGGACACCUCGAAGCUGUUCCUGCGCGGCGGCCGGGGGUUGAUGUCCACGGGCAGCUGGGCCAUGGCCCCGCGCAGGGCCGCGCUCACCGCCGCCGCGUUGCGCCCGAACACGCGUCAGCUCUUGCUGCGGGGACACGGCGCUCAGCGACCCGGGGGCACCCCAGGGCCCCGCACCACCCUCGGCACCGCGGCCGCUCACCAGUGCUCGAUCACCACACGGGGGCCGGUAUUCCCGGGGCUGCCCUCAUCUUGGGCCUGGGCCCGCGCCCGCUUCUGCGGGGCUCCCGCCGUCUCCGGUGCCUCGGCCGCCGCCGGCUGCCGGGCUCCGCGCUUCCUCCCGCGGGGAGCCAUCCUGGGAGAGCCGAGGCGGUGGAGCCUACGCCGGAGCAGGAAGGGGGCUCCAGGAACGCCGCUCUGGGGUGAGAAGAGAUCUCAUGCACCCCGCUGUCAGGGGAGUGAAAGCUGGGUCCCUGUGGGGACACUGCUGUGGGAGAGGGCCAGCAAGGGCCAGUCCCCGGCCGUGCGCCACUGGGGGCAAUGGGGGAUCCUGCUGUGGAGGGCGGGAAGCGGCUCCACAGGGACGGCGGGGCAGUGUGCGGCUGGGGAGAGUGGGGAAGCGGGGCCCCGGGGAAAGGCGGGGACAGACGCCGGGCCCCGGGGAAGGGGGGGGGACGGGGGAACAGACGCGGGUCUGGGGCGGCCGCGCCGCCUCCUACCUGCCGCUGGCACGUGCCGGGAGCGCGCGCCGCCGGGGGAGGCGGGGCCGGAAGGGGCGGGGCCGGGAAGGGCCCCACAGCCCCCUGUGGGCUCCGGUUCCGCCCGCGCCGCCCCAGCCAAUCAGAGCGCGCGGGCUCCGCAGGGCCCCGCCCCCAUACGCGGCCCGGGACCGGCGACACGGACACGGGACACGGGCACAGCACGGACCGUUUAUUGUCAGCGAUGGAUGAGAGCGAGCGUUAACCGAGGCGGGGCCCCUCCUACCGCCCUGCCCGCACGGGGCCGGGGGGCACCGCUGCUUUCCCGGGGCUCAGCCGGGACAAGUCCCCUCGGAGAGCGGCUCCGGGCAGGGCUGGGCAGGCCCGCAGGGCCGCUGCCACCAGGCUGA